rnacentral:lncRNA from 1 species
UAUUAUCUCCGGAAUUGGCAGCUCGGAGAAGUGCUUGAAGUAAAUCCUCGGGAUAGCCUGGAAUCCCGGGGGUGGCAGAUUGAUCGGCUGGUAUCGCGACAUCCAGAAUCGCAGAUGACCAGAGAUCUGAAUCCCCGACAGCAGUGAUCGAGCAUCGCUCGCAUUCAGAUUGGAGGGGGGAUUCACUCCAUCGGACCCAUCCAAGGUUGCGUGGGUCAUAACUUGUUCAUAUUCGCCGUCCCCAGAACGGCCGACAGGGAGCAACCUUGGCACGCC